GAUUAAGUUAUUAAGGGCGCACGGUGGAUGCCUUGGCACUAGAAGCCGAUGAAGGACGUUACUAACGACGAUAUGCUUUGGGGAGCUGUAAGUAAGCUUUGAUCCAGAGAUUUCCGAAUGGGGAAACCCAGCAUGAGUUAUGUCAUGUUAUCGAUAUGUGAAUACAUAGCAUAUCAGAAGGCACACCCGGAGAACUGAAACAUCUUAGUACCCGGAGGAAGAGAAAGAAAAUUCGAUUCCCUUAGUAGCGGCGAGCGAAACGGGAAGAGCCCAAACCAACAAGCUUGCUUGUUGGGGUUGUAGGACACUCUAUACGGAGUUACAAAGGACGACAUUAGACGAAUCAUCUGGAAAGAUGAAUCAAAGAAGGUAAUAAUCCUGUAGUCGAAAAUGUUGUCUCUCUUGAGUGGAUCCUUGAGUACGACGGAGCACGUGAAAUUCCGUCGGAAUCUGGGAGGACCAUCUCCUAAGGCUAAAUACUCUCUAGUGACCGAUAGUGAACCAGUACCGUGUAGGGAAAGGUGAAAAGUCACCCCGGAAGGGGAGUGAAAUAGAACCUGAAACCGUGUGCUUACAAGUAGUCAGAGCCCGUUAAUGGGUGAUGGCGUGCCUUUUGUAGAAUGAACCGGCGAGUUACGAUUUGAUGCAAGGUUAAGCAGUAAAUGUGGAGCCGUAGCGAAAGCGAGUCUGAAUAGGGCGUUUAGUAUUUGGUCGUAGACCCGAAACCAGGUGAUCUACCCUUGGUCAGGUUGAAGUUCAGGUAACACUGAAUGGAGGACCGAACCGACUUACGUUGAAAAGUGAGCGGAUGAACUGAGGGUAGCGGAGAAAUUCCAAUCGAACCUGGAGAUAGCUGGUUCUCUCCGAAAUAGCUUUAGGGCUAGCCUCAAGUGAUGAUUAUUGGAGGUAGAGCACUGUUUGGACGAGGGGCCCCUCUCGGGUUACCGAAUUCAGACAAACUCCGAAUGCCAAUUAAUUUAACUUGGGAGUCAGAACAUGGGUGAUAAGGUCCGUGUUCGAAAGGGAAACAGCCCAGACCACCAGCUAAGGUCCCAAAAUAUAUGUUAAGUGGAAAAGGAUGUGGCGUUGCCCAGACAACUAGGAUGUUGGCUUAGAAGCAGCCAUCAUUUAAAGAGUGCGUAAUAGCUCACUAGUCGAGUGACACUGCGCCGAAAAUGUACCGGGGCUAAACAUAUUACCGAAGCUGUGGAUUGUCCUUUGGACAAUGGUAGGAGAGCGUUCUAAGGGCGUUGAAGCAUGAUCGUAAGGACAUGUGGAGCGCUUAGAAGUGAGAAUGCCGGUGUGAGUAGCGAAAGACGGGUGAGAAUCCCGUCCACCGAUUGACUAAGGUUUCCAGAGGAAGGCUCGUCCGCUCUGGGUUAGUCGGGUCCUAAGCUGAGGCCGACAGGCGUAGGCAAUGGAUAACAGGUUGAUAUUCCUGUACCACCUAUAAUCGUUUUAAUCGAUGGGGGGGACGCAGUAGGAUAGGCGAAGCGUGCGAUUGGAUUGCACGUCUAAGCAGUAAGGCUGAGUAUUAGGCAAAUCCGGUACUCGUUAAGGCUGAGCUGUGAUGGGGAGAAGACAUUGUGUCUUCGAGUCGUUGAUUUCACACUGCCGAGAAAAGCCUCUAGAUAGAAAAUAGGUGCCCGUACCGCAAACCGACACAGGUAGUCAAGAUGAGAAUUCUAAGGUGAGCGAGCGAACUCUCGUUAAGGAACUCGGCAAAAUGACCCCGUAACUUCGGGAGAAGGGGUGCUCUUUAGGGUUAACGCCCAGAAGAGCCGCAGUGAAUAGGCCCAAGCGACUGUUUAUCAAAAACACAGGUCUCUGCUAAACCGUAAGGUGAUGUAUAGGGGCUGACGCCUGCCCGGUGCUGGAAGGUUAAGAGGAGUGGUUAGCUUCUGCGAAGCUACGAAUCGAAGCCCCAGUAAACGGCGGCCGUAACUAUAACGGUCCUAAGGUAGCGAAAUUCCUUGUCGGGUAAGUUCCGACCCGCACGAAAGGCGUAACGAUUUGGGCACUGUCUCAACGAGAGACUCGGUGAAAUCAUAGUACCUGUGAAGAUGCAGGUUACCCGCGACAGGACGGAAAGACCCCGUGGAGCUUUACUGUAGCCUGAUAUUGAAAUUCGGCACAGCUUGUACAGGAUAGGUAGGAGCCUUUGAAACGUGAGCGCUAGCUUACGUGGAGGCGCUGGUGGGAUACUACCCUAGCUGUGUUGGCUUUCUAACCCGCACCACUUAUCGUGGUGGGAGACAGUGUCAGGCGGGCAGUUUGACUGGGGCGGUCGCCUCCUAAAAGGUAACGGAGGCGCUCAAAGGUUCCCUCAGAAUGGUUGGAAAUCAUUCAUAGAGUGUAAAGGCAUAAGGGAGCUUGACUGCGAGACCUACAAGUCGAGCAGGGUCGAAAGACGGACUUAGUGAUCCGGUGGUUCCGCAUGGAAGGGCCAUCGCUCAACGGAUAAAAGCUACCCCGGGGAUAACAGGCUUAUCUCCCCCAAGAGUUCACAUCGACGGGGAGGUUUGGCACCUCGAUGUCGGCUCAUCGCAUCCUGGGGCUGUAGUCGGUCCCAAGGGUUGGGCUGUUCGCCCAUUAAAGCGGUACGCGAGCUGGGUUCAGAACGUCGUGAGACAGUUCGGUCCCUAUCCGUCGUGGGCGUAGGAAAUUUGAGAGGAGCUGUCCUUAGUACGAGAGGACCGGGAUGGACAUACCUCUGGUGUACCAGUUGUCGUGCCAACGGCAUAGCUGGGUAGCUAUGUGUGGACGGGAUAAGUGCUGAAAGCAUCUAAGCAUGAAGCCCCCCUCAAGAUGAGAUUUCCCAGCUUCGGUUAUAAGAUCCCUCAAAGAUGAUGAGGUUAAUAGGUUCGAGGUGGAAGCAUGGUGACAUGUGGAGCUGACGAAUACUAAUCGAUCGAAGACUUAAUCAA
rnacentral:rRNA from 1 species